CUGUGUGGGCCCAGCUUUCCCCCAGCGCUGGAGACUCCGAGCCCGGUCGGUCCCACAUUCCACGCGAGUUGAAUUCCCGCCCGCAUCCCGCCCGGGCAGCCGGGAUUGCGGGCUCCGGGAGGCGCUCGGGCUCCGAGAAGCGGCUCAGCCCCGCGCCCCUCCCUCCGCAGUACCGCUGCCGGCGGACCAGGAUUCCCGCGGGUCCUGGCGGCUGCGAGCGGGAGGCGGCGCGGAUUCCCGGCUCGGUUCUGGCGCGACUGCUCACCGCGCCCGCCCGCCCGCCUCUCCUCCCGCGGCUGCCAGCGUGCACAGGGCGCUCCUCGGCGCGUCUGCCCGGUCUUUCCUUCUCCUCCCUGUAGUCCCAGCGUCGCAACUCCGCCAACCUCAGCUGCCCUGAGAGCGCGUCCUGCGCGGCCGGAGUCGGACGGACUCGGGCUUCACGCCUCGCGGCGGCACCCCUUCUCCCCGGCACUGCGGCACAGUCCUUAGGGGAGGCAGAGUCCUUUCGGAGUUUGACCCUUGGAUUCCACCCAGAGCAGCUUCCAAAAUGACACCUCUGAAGUUGUGUAUUGAGUUGGGGGAUGUGAAGGGAGGAGAAGAAAGAAGAUGAAGAGACACCAGCCAGCCUUGAGGAGUGGACAUCUUACCUGGUGAAAAUGAACAAGACACUGACCGCAUAUGGAGUUUUGCUCUGUUGCCCAGGCUGGAGUGCAGUGGCACCAUCUUGGCUCACUGCAACCUCUGCCUCCGGGUUCAAGUGAUUCUCCUGCCUCAGCCCCCAGGUAGCUGGGAUUACAGGAGCUCCCUCCCGCCGCUCCUACAGUGCUGGUGAAAGGCAGCCCCAUUGCCUGCUGGAAGACCUGCCAGCUUGGGCUUCAGAGCACUUCUGCCUCAGCUCCUCAACGAUCCCUUCUGUCAUCAUGGGACCUUUCCUGGGAUUUGAUUUAGGGUGACUUGUCUGCGUCCUGAGUCCUGCCUUCCCUGGCUGGUCCUCCGUGCUUAGUCACCCAGCUCAUUCCCAGGCAGCUGCACCCUGGGUAUGUCUCCUCUCAUGUGCUUCCUGGAAAUGUCUCCUUUCUUCUCAUCUACUGAGAGGUCCUUCUGGGCAGGGACUCGGGCAGAUUCAUCCUGGCCUGCCCCACCGUUCCCUAGCCCAGCGCCUGGCCCAUUGCAGUGCUGAAGGAUGAUUCUGGUAAGAAACAAGGUACCCCAGCUCACAUCUUGCAAUGAUUAUGCCUCCCUGAUCCUCCCUUCUCCUUGCAAUUCUCUCCCUUCACCGAUGAUUUUGGAUGCAAUUUAAAAUAAAAAUAUUGAUUAAAAAUGGAAACUAUAUAAAUACAAAUAAAAACACUUAACAUCAA